UCACAGCUUACGCUGGCAGUCUCUCCAGAGUCCUCAGCAUCACCUGUUAGUAACUGGAAAUAAGGGUUGCGCUCGUUAUGGCACUUAAGCCGACACCUCACGGCACGAGCUGACGACAACCAUGCAGCACCUCGUAGGCAGUCAUUGCUGAAAAGAAUGUUUCCACUCCUGUCUCCCUACGUUCAAACCCGGGUAAGGUUCCUCGCGUAUCAUCGAAUUAAACCACAUGUUCCUCCGCUUGUGCGGGCCCCCGUCAAUUCCUUUGAGUUUCACCGUUGCCGGCGUACUCCCCAGGUGGAUUACUUAACGCUUUCGCUGUGCCGCUUACUGUGUAUCGCAAACAGCUAGUAAUCAUCGUUUACUGCGUGGACUAC
rnacentral:misc_RNA from 1 species